UCCCUGAUGGUCCAGUGGCUAAGACUCCAUGCUCCCAAUGUAUGGGGCCAGGUUCGAUCCCUGAUCAGGGAA
rnacentral:tRNA from 1 species